rnacentral:rRNA from 1 species
CCCUCUGGGAGGCAGUCGCCGAAGGUGGGACUGGUGACUGGGACGAAGUCGUAACAAGGUAGCCGUACGGGAACGUGCGGCUGGAUCACCUCCUUUCUAGGGAG